AUUGAACGCUGGCGGCAUGCUUUACACAUGCAAGUCGAACGGCAGCACGGGCUUCGGCCUGGUGGCGAGUGGCGAACGGGUGAGUAAUAUAUCGGAACGUACCCAGCAGUGGGGGAUAACGUAGCGAAAGUUACGCUAAUACCGCAUACAAUCUAUGGAUGAAAUCAGGGGACCGCAAGGCCUUGUGCUCCUGGAGCGGCCGAUAUCUGAUUAGCUAGUUGGUGAGGUAAAGGCUCACCAAGGCGCCGAUCAGUAGCUGGUCUGAGAGGACGACCAGCCACACUGGAACUGAGACACGGUCCAGACUCCUACGGAAGGCAGCAGUGGGGAAUUUUGGACAAUGGGCGCAAGCCUGAUCCAGCAAUGCCGCGUGAGUGAAGAAGGCCUUCGGGUUGUAAAGCUCUUUUGUCAGGGAAGAAACGGUAGAGGCUAAUAUCCUUUGCUAAUGACGGAACCUGAAGAAUAAGCACCGGCUAACUACGU
rnacentral:rRNA from 1 species